rnacentral:tRNA from 2 species
GGGCUCGUGGUCUAGUGGCAUGACGGAUCCUUGGCGUGGAUCAAAUUGGGGGUUCGAUUCCCCCCGAGUCCA